rnacentral:sRNA from 1 species
UUUAGAUGCUUCUGGGUCGCGGUGUGCUAAGCGAGGAGUCCGAGUGUGUGAGCUUGAGAGCCGCGCGCUAGAGCGACCCGGCGAGGGAUGGCGGCCACCGGGACCGCGGCCGCCGCAGCCACGGGCAGGCUCCUGCUUCUGCUGCUGGUGGGGCUCACGGCGCCUGCCUUGGCGCUGGCCGGCUACAUCGAGGCUCUUGCAGCCAAUGCCGGAACAGGAUUUGCUGUUGCUGAGCCUCAAAUCGCAAUGUUUUGUGGGAAGUUAAAUAUGCAUGUGAACAUUCAGACUGGGAAAUGGGAACCUGAUCCAACAGGCACCAAGAGCUGCUUUGAAACAAAAGAAGAAGUUCUUCAGUACUGUCAGGAGAUGUAUCCAGAGCUACAGAUCACAAAUAGCGGAUGGAGGUGUGCGAGAAUCACCAGCACUGGCACAUGGUAGUCAAAGAGGCAUGUCUGACUCAGGGAAUGACCUUAUAUAGCUACGGCAUGCUGCUCCCAUGUGGGGUAGACCAGUUCCAUGGCACUGAAUAUGUGUGCUGCCCUCAGACAAAG